rnacentral:tRNA from 1 species
GUUUUAAUAGUUUAAACAAAAUAUUGGUCUUGUAAAUCAAAGAUAAGAAACAUCUUUUAAAACU